rnacentral:lncRNA from 1 species
GGCAGCUUGUGUUUUUUGUUUCCGCAUCUUUAUUGUUUUGAGAACACCCUUCAGCCCUGAAACAGCCCCCGUGGGAAUUUCUUUUAGGAUUAGAAACUGUGAGAGACCAGGAAUGAAUGGUGGAAAGUAGACAGGCUCAGGACAAGAUGAAAGUGAAAGAGUUCACCCUGUACAUUACAAAGAGGAGAGCCGCACGUGGACCUUAGAAGUGGUCCGUGAUCAGACAGCGGAUGAUAUUAAUUGUGCAUCUUUUCUUUAAAGUAAUGAAAUUGAAACCCAAAUCUUGUCCCGUUAGACCAACUUUUUCAUAAUCAAAAAUAACUUGCAUACGUUAUUGCUGCCCUGUGAAGAAAACGAGUGGUGAAAAAUAAUUUAAAUGAAGAUCAACAUUUCUAAGGCUAACCUGAUACUGCAAUUAAAAUACUUCAAAUUCACUGCAAAAUGUUCUCCGGGAAAGUAUGCUAUAUACACAAUGAGAUUUGUACAUGAAUCGGGAAAUAAAAAAUUGCUUAUAUAAAAUUAAAAAUCAAUAGUAUACAAUAUUUACAGUUUGUUAGGUAUUAUAUAUAAAGUUUUUUUAAAUAAUCCUUCAAAGUUAAACUAUUAUGUAAACAUGCAGUACACAUACUCAUACAGUGUAGUUUAUAGUCUUAACAGAGGGGGAAACUGUGUUCACAUAAUGCAGGGUACUUCAUCAAAUAUGCUUUUGUUUUUCUGUAUUACCCCUCCAAUGCUUAUUCUUGUCUUUAAGCUUCACAGUACAUUUAAUAUUUCUAUAGUAAAAAUAAAUCCCUGAUGAUAAACAUAUUUCUAAAGUGUCUGCCCCAUACUAAAAUAUAAAACUAACACAGUUCACACUAGGAUCUCUAGUUUACAACAAAACUAAAAAUCUAAAUGGUUGACUACAUUUUUCUCUGUUUCAUACUUUGUUGGAAAAAUUUUAAAAAAGAGAGGAAAAUGCCACAUCAUGAGAACAUAAUGAAAGUAGUUGUCAUCUGUCCUAGCUGAUGGCUAAGUAGCUGAUUUAGAGUGAACCGUAAGGAGUUAGUAGCCAGGACGUGUUUCCAUGACACCCUUCAUAACUCUGGGUCUCCAGUCACAAGUGAUGUGAACACAGACACCUCAUUGGCGCCAAUUCUGACUUUUGCUAAACCACUUGGCAAAAGUAUUUUAACUUCCAAGGCACUAAGGCAUCAUUUAGCUUUUAAAACUGGUACUGUGAUUUAACUGACUCAUCAAUGGUCUUCUAAUGCCUACCAGGUAAACUAUAUUGUUGGUACUUCAGUGAAGACAUUUUAUUAGCUAGUCAACUUUAAGAUGAAGUUGCUCCCAGAAAGACUAGAGUCAAGGGCUAAUACUUAUGGUAGAAAUCAUAUGAAUUUUAACAAGUUGUAAAUUUAAACGAAAAAUACUGUGGAAUUUCAUAUUUGUUCGUCUAAACAUGCAGAGCCCCUGUGUGAAGGUAUGUGGGCAUGUUGGGGAGAGACCCAUAAUGUUUUGAAUUCCUCCAUGGUAAAUGCACUCCAUAUUACAACACUAAGAAAAUGUCAACAAUUAGCUUAUCAACUCACCCACUACUGAAAGUAAACUAUUUUUAUAUGUACUCAAACAAGUACCUCUAUUUGCUUUCUAUGGAAAAACUUUAAAAUGUCUCAUCCCCAAGAUACUCGAUGAAAUCUAUAUACUUUAAUUUUUUUUUUAAAAAAAGCUUUUCAUCAUCAAUAGUACUUUCAAGCUAAUAUUCAUUGAAACAGGGUUCUAAAACAGGUAAUGACUUUUAGUAAUCACCAAUUUGUAUUCAGGAAAAAAAGUUAUGGUCAUGAGAUUCAGAUAAUUAUGCAUUUUAGUCUCUCUUUCCAUACAUCUGUGACAUACUGCUUUCCAGUUUCAGUUAUAAACCUAAAGACAUUUCCCAAAAUAAGACAGUCACGUUACUACUCAUGGUUUAUACACUUCGUACUGGUACAGGAGACAAUCCAAAAUGAAACAUAAGAGCUGCAUGCUAUCCUGACUUGCCUAUAGCUAUUUAUUUUUCAAAAAGAUAAUGGCUGCAUAACCAUUGGUGUUGAAAAUUAUCUUCUGUAUCAGCAUUCCAGCUUCUAUCAAAACACUGUGCAUGUUUAAACUAUAAUGUAGGACAUCUGUUUAGAAAAAGGAGGAAGGACUUUUAAAAAACUGUCAAAUUAGUUCUUAAAAUCAAGGAAGGGUUAUUAUGCAAGUUCAACAUAUGUGCAAUGCAUGUGAAGAGUAUGAAAGUGAAUCCCCUAAAUUCAGAGGGAGAUGAUUACUUUUAUAGCUAGGCUCUCAGAAAUUUGAGUGGUGAUAUUAAUUUAAUAAAGAAUUCAUCAGUACAUCUCCACAUUUAGUGAAACUAUUUAAUAUAUUAAGUACUAUUUCCCCCAAAUUCACAGCUAUAUUUUGAGAUAAGUAAUUCUGCAACUUUAAUAACAGUGCAUUUUCUGUAACAGAACAGAGAUGCUCAAAUUACAAGGGCAAAACUAUAAUCACACACACACACACACACAAAUACACACGUAGCAGAACUUCAAAUACACUGUGGUUAGGGGCACGCACACGGAAGGAACACAGCACUACGUAAACAUGCAGGACGCACAGUCAUACUGUGUAGUCAGAGUCUCAGCAGAAAGGGGAGCUGUGUGCUCACAGGGCAAGGUGCUUCACGUACCCAUCAGACCUCCAACAUUUCUUCCUGUCUUUAAACUUCCCUCAGCUACAAAACGCUACCACAUUUGAAAAAUGUUAAAAAUUUUAAUCAAAUGAUGUCCCUUCUAUCUUGACGAGUUUUAAAGGAUGGGACAUGAAGGGAGAUUACCAGACCAUUUGAUUACUAGUCAAUUUUAGUCACUGAGAGUCUCACUCCUGAUUAUUAAAAGAAACAGUAAUUUACCCAGUUACCCAACAUAUACACCAAAUUCUCUGCAAUCUAAAUCUAAUACUAAUUUCUUCAGUAACUUUUCAUGUUCCUCAGAUCCUAAAAACUAGGUUUGAAGAGAUUCUGUUUGAGGCUUGCUGGGAGAAAAAUUUUAGCAAGAGAGAAGUUGUCUGUGAAUGCUUCAGAAAGUGCUCUUGGCAUCCUGUUACUUCCUGAAUUAUAAAAUGGAUAUAUAUUUUAAAUAAAAGCAUUGCCUUUUGGGUUAAAGAAAACAACCAACAACCACCAGGGCCAACAACAGGCCCGGUCCACGGAAAGGACAUAAACACUGAAGCCCAGCUCCGUGUUCUAACAGAAUCGGCAGCGCAAUGCAGAGGCUGACGUCCAAGAUGGCAGGAGGAAGGUGGGUGUGUGGGGCAGAAAGGGCUGUAUCUUACCCACUUUUCCAUCUCUAAAACAAAGAGAAUAAUCUGCAUGUAUCAGAGGGUCAAGAAAUGUUCUGAGUGAAUCUAAUCCCUAGGAAAUAGGUAGGAAAUGGUACAGGAGUAAAUACUGGCCACUUCUAUUCUUUCUACUAUGACCAAUGGCAACAGGAAGCCAUAAUUUAAUCCUGAUUGUCCUGGCCACUCCCACCCUACCAAUUCCCAAUGUGUUUUUAGAUAAGUAUCUGCUGAUUUUAAAAAUAAAGGGGUAGAGAAGAGGUGAAGGAAGUAAGAUUACAAGAGAACUUUUUUAGUUUUUUUCAUAUAUAUAUAUAUAUAUAUAUAUAUAUAGGAAAAAUGUGGAAACGGAAGAAGAGUGAAUUGUACAAAACAGAAUCAACUGCUAUGGUGAAAUAUAAUUUUUAAAAUAUCCUGGUGACUAAUUAUUCACCAUAAUUACAUAUUGCUUUGUCAUCAUAAACAAUUCUUAUAAUAAUGAUACAAAGUGUUAAUACUUUCACAAGAAAUGAACUGAAGCUCAGAGAGGUUUAAUGAGUGUUUGGAUCAAAAAGUUGGUGAGUGACAGCCUGGAUUCAAGCCUAUGCCUCUAGAGUCUAAUGUUUUCACUGUGUCACAGCAACGGCAUCUCAGCUAGUGAAAUUCCAUUUAGUAGACAUAUUGGGAAAAUCAGAAGGGGAGUGGGGGACAGAAUCUGAACUGCUAACCAAAAUCAUGAACUGAAAUGCUGCCCCAAGCUUUUUAGGGUCUGAAAUUGCUUUGCUAGCUCUUGGUGGGCUCGAUCAAGGGCAGGAAUCCCACUGUAGCCAUAUUUAUUCUGACAGACAGCAUUUCGUAUAGCACUCUGCACACAUGAGAUCUGCAAGAAGUGUUUACAAAACUGAGUUAGCUGGCAUGGUGGGUGCUGGCAUGGGCACAAGAGAGUGGAAACUCCACCUUCCUCGGCUUAUUUAGAGGCUCGGAGAACCUUUUCCAACAACAUUCUUUGAUUUUGUAAUUAUCCCUGUUCCUACAUCACAAAUAGCAAAUAUACAGGCCAACUCAUUCUUUUUCCUUUCUCUCAUUUAAAGAACACACACAACACUUGAGGGUUUGGAAAUGUAGCAGGUGAAAUGUAUAUAGCAAAUCCUAAGACAGCAUAUUGGGUAAGACUCUAACACUGCUUGGUAAACAUUAGGAUCUAAAAUAACAAGCUGCACGCAAUGAAUAUGCCAUGAUUCAGAACUUUCCACAGCAACCAACCGAACUGUGCCAUGGGGUGGGUUAGCUGUACUUCCUUCUUUUAAAGGUUUUGAGUACUGUCUAUAGCUUACAUGAGGCCCCCUUGGCUACUCUGUUCUAUGGACAUCUCUAACCAGAUGUUAUGUGGUAACUUUGGGCAUCUAGGAGUUCCUUCUUAGGGGACCUGAUUUCACUAUCAGAAAUAUUUUGAUAAAUAUUUUAAAGCAAGUGUCAACUGCAGAGGAUUCUCUCACUUCCUUUUUGCACUUGUCACAAAGAAAACGUACUGCUAAAUCACAUACAAAUUUUAAGAAAGUGUAGCCCAAUUAUGUCAGUAAGGGCUUUUGUCAUGUCCCAAACAAGGAUCUCCCACACUACUACACCAAAAAAAUUUUCCCGGAUUAAAAAAUCUCAAACAUCUUCAAAUCUACUUAAAAGACCAUUCAACCAAACAAGUGUAACAAAUUCACUAGAACAUCAAAGUGUUCAUUAAGCAAAAGCUUUCCAAUUGGAGUGUAUCCAUAUAUAGCUCUUUAUAUAUGUAUAUAAUGAUAUAUAUAUCUGUGUAUAUAUAUCAUUAAACAUUUAUCUCUAUAAGAAAACCAUUUACUUUUAGAAAUGCAGUGUAUAAACAGUUAUUAAGACAAUUGAUAAAUUCAUACUAUUCAACAUUUCAAACAUCAAAACAGUGAGAGAUGCACUAGAUCUCAAUGGAAAUAACUGAGAGCAGCAAAGAAAUCAAAAAUGUCCCCCUAAAUAUUAAAGUAUACAACACACUCAAUUCUUAAUGUAAAUCAACUUGAUAGUGGCAUAACUUCAGGGCAUUCUACAAACUAAUUAUUAACCACUCAAUCAUACUUUCAUCCUAGAGGAAAAAUAAGAGUUCAAAUCUCUUUGGUCCAUAAUUCAUAUAGUUAAUGUAUCCAAGGUAUUUUCUGGAUUAUGAACCAUAUGUUCUAUAUUAUCUUACCAUGUAACUGUCACAAAUCAAAAAAUAACCAUAUGUUAAAAUAUUCAGUCUAUAGAUCUGAAACAAUUUCCAUAUGCUAUUAGUAAUUUC